UCAUGACAUCCUUCCACAUGAAAACUACUCCCAUUAGAACUCCACAGUUAGACACGUUUGAGAUAGAGUAGUAUUGGGAUGGGUGAUCAUCCGGGAAUACCUAGUGUUUUACAUGCC
rnacentral:rRNA from 1 species